rnacentral:snRNA from 1 species
AGCUUUGCGCAGUGGCAGUAUCGUAGCCAAUGAGGUUUAUCCGAAGCGCGAUUAUUGCUAAUUGAAAAAACAAAGAAACA